rnacentral:rRNA from 1 species
CCCUUAGAUGUCCUGGGCUGCACGCGCGCUACACUGAUGUGUCCAGUAAGCACCUAACCUCUUCCGAAAGGAACGGGUAACCUUUGCAAAGCACAUCGUGAUGGGGAUAGAUUAUUGCAAUUAUUAGUCUUGAACGAGGAAUUCCUAGUAAGCGCAAGUCAUCAACUUGCGUUGAUUACGUCCCUGCCCUUUGUACACACCGCCUGUCGCUACUACCGAUUGAAUGGUUUAGUGAGGCCUUCGGAUCCGCGAUUUUAUUGUGGAGAAGUUGGACAAACUCAGUCAUUUAGAGGAAGUAAAAGUCGUAACA